rfam:Salmo salar isolate Sally breed double haploid chromosome ssa28, whole genome shotgun sequence.
UGCAUUCACUACUGUAAGUCACUCUGGAUAAGAACGUCUGCUAAAUGACUAAAA